rnacentral:rRNA from 1 species
UACGUAGGGUGCGUGCGUUAAUCGGAAUUACUGGGCGUAAAGCGUGCGUAGGCGGUUUUGUAAGUCAGAUGUGAAAUCCCCGGGCUUAACCUGGGAAUGGCAUUUGGGACUGCAAGGCUGGAGUGCGGCAGAGGAGACUGGAAUUCCUGGUGUAGCAGUGAGAUGCGUAGAUAUCAGGAGGAAUACCGAUGGCGAAGGCAGGUCUCUGGGCUGACACUGACGCUCAUGCACGAAAGCGUGGGGAGCAAACAGG